UACGGGGGGGGCAAGCGUUGUCCGGAUUUAUUGGGCGUAAAGAGCGUGUAGGCGGCCAGGUAGGUCCGUUGUGAAAACUGGAGGCUUAACCUCCAGCUGUCGAUGGAACCAUCUGGCUAGAGUCCGGAAGAGGAGACUGGAAUUCCUGGUGUAGCGGUGGAAUGCGCAGAUAUCAGGAGGAACACCGGUGGCGAAGGCGGGUCUCUGGGCAGUAACUGACGCUGGAGGAGCGAAAGCCGUGGGGAGCGAACAGG
rnacentral:rRNA from 1 species